rnacentral:tRNA from 1 species
GCAUUGGUGGUUCAGUGGUAGAAUUCUCGCCUGCCACGCGGGAGACCCGGGUCCGAUUCCCGCCAAUGCA